ACUCAAAUGAAUUGACGGGGGCCCGCACAAGCAGCGGAGCAUGUUGCUUAAUUCGAGGCAACGCGAAGAACCUUACCUGGGUUUGACAUGGUAGGAAAAGCCACAGAGAUGUGGUGUCCUUUUGGGCCUAUCACAGGUGGUGCAUGGCUGUCGUCAGCUCGUGUCGUGAGAUGUUGGGUUAAGUCCCGCAACGAGCGCAACCCUUGUCCUAUGUUGCCAGCACGUAAUGGUGGGGACUCGUAGGAGACUGCCGGGGUCAACUCGGAGGAAGGUGGGGACGACGUCAAGUCAUCAUGCCCCUUAUGUCCAGGGCUGCAAACAUGCUACAAUGGCCAGUACAAAGGGCUGCGAAACCGCGAGGUCGAGCGAAUCCCACAAAGCUGGUCUCAGUUCGGAUCGGAGUCUGCAACUCGACUCCGUGAAGCUGGAGUUGCUAGUAAUCCCGGAUCAGCAACGCCGGGGUGAAUACGUUCCCGGGCCUUGUACACACCGCCCGU
rnacentral:rRNA from 1 species